UACAGAGGUCUCAAGCGUUGUUCGGAUUCAUUGGGCGUAAAGGGCGCGUAGGCUGCGGGGCAAGUCGGGUGUGAAAUCUCAGAGCUCAACUCUGAAACUGCACUCGAUACUGCUUUGCUGGAGGACUGGAGAGGAGAUUGGAAUUCACGGUGUAGCAGUGAAAUGCGUAGAUAUCGUAAGGAAGACCAGUGGCGAAGGCGGGUCUCUGGACAGUUCCUGACGCUGAGGCACGAAGGCCAGGGGAGCAAACGGG
rnacentral:rRNA from 1 species